CCAAUUCAACGGUGUGGUCGCGGCCUCCGGGGGCUCCCCCCGGGCGGUAGAGGUAAUACUCUCACGCGCCACAUGUCUGAAUCCUUUUUUUUACGAGCACCUUUCGUUCUCCUUCGGUGGGGCAACCUGCCGUUGGAACUCAUCAAAACCUUUUUUGCAUCUAGCAUUACCUGUUCAGAUACAAACAAUCGUUA
rnacentral:misc_RNA from 1 species